rnacentral:rRNA from 1 species
GACGAACGCUGGCGGCGUGCUUAACACAUGCAAGUCGAACGGAGCGAAUGAAAGCUUGCUUUUAUGAGCUUAGUGGCAAACGGGUGAGUAACACGUAGACAACCUGCCGACAGGAUGGGGACAACAUUCCGAAAGGAAUGCUAAUACCGAAUGAAGUCGAGGGAAGGCAUCUUCCUUCGAUGAAAGAUGGCCUCUGAAAAUGCUAUCACCUGUCGAUGGGUCUGCGUCUGAUUAGCUAGUUGGUGAGGUAACGGCUCACCAAGGCGACGAUCAGUAGCCGGUCUGAGAGGAUGAACGGCCACAUUGGGACUGAGACACGGCCCAGACUCCUACGGGAGGCAGCAGUGGGGAAUCUUCCGCAAUGGGCGCAAGCCUGACGGAGCAACGCCGCGUGAGUGAAGAAGGUCUUCGGAUCGUAAAGCUCUGUUGAUGGGGACGAACGUGCGAAGGGUGAAUAAUCCUUUGCAAUGACG